rnacentral:rRNA from 1 species
AGUGAACGCUGGCGGCGUGCUUAACACAUGCAAGUCGAACGGACUUUAAGGGGCUUGCUUCUUAAAGUUAGUGGCGCACGGGUGAGUAAUGUAUAGCUAACCUGCCCUUUAGUGGGGGACAACAGUUGGAAACGUCUGCUAAUACCCCAUACUCCUUCUUAUCAUAAGGUAAGUUGGGAAAGAUUUAUUGCUAAAGGAUGGGGCUUUAUGGUAUCAGCUAGUUGGUGGGGUAAAGGCCUACCAAGGCUAUGACGCCUACCUGGUCUGAGAGGAUGAUCAGGCACACUGGAACUGAGACACGGUCCAGACUCCUACGGGAGGCAGCAGUGGGGAAUAUUGCACAAUUGAGGAAGCUUUGAUGCAGCAACGCCGCGUGGAGGAUGACGCAUUUCGGUGUGUAAACUCCUUUUAUAAGGGAAGAUAAUGACGGUACCUUAUGAAUAAGCACCGGCUAACUCCGUGCCAGCCGCCGCAGUAA